GUCCCUAUCGUCUAGAGGCCUAGGACAUCGCCCUUUCGCGGCGGUAACCGGGGUUCGAAUCCCCGUAGGGACGCCA
rnacentral:tRNA from 2 species